UAACACGAACCCGACAAACGUUAUUCGGAAUUAUUGGGCUUAAAGGGUGCGUAGGCGGUGCGGUAAGUGAGGUGUGAAAGCCCUCGGCUCAACCGAGGAAUUGCGCUUCAUACUGCCGUGCUGGAGGGAGACAGGGGUAAGCGGAACUGAUGGUGGAGCGGUGAAAUGCGUUGAUAUCAUCAGGAACACCGGUGGCGAAAGCGGCUUACUGGGUCUUCUCUGACGCUGAGGCACGAAAGCUAGGGUAGCGAACGGGAUUAGAUACCCCGGUAGUCCUAGCCGUAAACGAUGAGCACUUGACUGAGGAUCCCCCCAUAGGUUCUCGGUCGCAGCGAAAGUGUUAAGUGCUCCGCCUGGGGAGUAUGGUCGCAAGGCUG
rnacentral:rRNA from 1 species